AGUUUGAUCCUGGCUCAGAAUCAACGCUGGCGGCGUGCCUCAGACAUGCAAGUCGAACGCGAAAGUUUCCUUCGGGGAACAAGUAGAGUGGCGCACGGGUGAGUAACACGUAGGUAAUCUACCUUUGGAUGGGGAAUAACAACCGGAAACGGUUGCUAAUACCGCAUAAUGCAGCGGCACCUAAUGGUGACAGUUGUUAAAGCGGGGGAUCGUAAGACCUCGCGUCUGAAGAGGAGCCUGCGGCAGAUUAGCUAGUUGGUAAGGUAAUGGCUUACCAAGGCUAUGAUCUGUAGCCGGCCUGAGAGGGCGGUCGGCCACACUGACACUGACAUACGGGUCAGACUCCUACGGGAGGCAGCAGUCGGGAAUUUUGGGCAAUGGGCGAAAGCCUGACCCAGCAACGCCGCGUGAAGGAUGAAAUCCUUCGGGAUGUAAACUUCGCAAGAACGGGAAGAAUAAACCGGUGUUA
rnacentral:rRNA from 1 species